AACGAACGCUGGCGGCAGGCCUAACACAUGCAAGUCGAGCGAGGACCUCGGUCCUAGCGGCGGACGGGUGAGUAACGCGUGGGAACGUGCCCUUUGCUUCGGAAUAGCCCUGGGAAACUGGGAGUAAUACCGAAUGUGCCCUUUGGGGGAAGGAUUUAUCGGCAAAGGAUCGGCCCGCGUUGAAUUAGGUAGUUGGUGGGGUAAUGGCCUACCAAGCCGACGAUCCAUAGCUGGUUUGAGAGGAUGAUCAGCCACACUGGGACUGAGACACGGCCCAGACUCCUACGGGAGGCAGCAGUGGGGAAUCUUAGACAAUGGGCGCAAGCCUGAUCUAGCCAUGCCGCGUGAGCGAUGAAGGCCUUAGGGUUGUAAAGCUCUUUCAGCGAGGAAGAUAAUGACUGUACUCGCAGAAGAAGCCCCGGCUAACUCCGUGCCAGCCGCCGCGGUAACAC
rnacentral:rRNA from 1 species